UUCAUUGGAAAAGUUUUGGAACCGUUGGCUUCAAUAGAUCUGUCAAAUAUUCUACUGAAAAAUGCAGACUGCUGGAUGUUGCGGUUUUGUUUUCAGAACUGUGUUAACAUUGGCAAACUGAGACUCAGUUUAACAUCUGACAAUGUGAAGAUUCUUCAGUCUGCACUGUACACUUGUGAAGAGUUGUGGUUGAAGGUGGAUCACAUUACAGAUGAUACUGGGGAUUUGAUCUCAGCUCUUGGUGAAGGAAAGAUUGUGAAAGAACUGAUAAUACAGGAUCAAAAAUCUUCAAAAGCUUCUCACAAAAAAAGGAUCAAAAGCUUCUGCCAAGAGAUUAUUGCAUCAGUUAAAGAUGAAGACGUCAUGUAAGAAACUCUAAUCAUA